rnacentral:rRNA from 1 species
UAGGGAAUCUUCCACAAUGGACGAAAGUCUGAUGGAGCAACGCCGCGUGAUGAAGAAGGGUUUCGGCUCGUAAAACUCUGUUGUUAAAGAAGAACACGUAUGAGAGUAACUGUUCAUACGUUGACGGUAUUUAACCAGAAAGUCACGGCUAACUACGUGCCAG